AAAAAAAAUUCACAAACUGAAUUGCCUCCUAGCAAGCGCUCUUUUUAUGUCACUAGCUUGACCUGGUAGAGUUCAAACACCCAUCAGUAGGUGUUGAUACUCCUCUUUCUUGAUAUUCUUUUCUUUUCUUCUUCCUGCUGAAUUUCUUCAUAAAAUUAAGAACACCAAGCACUUGUUUCCAUGUUUCAACCAUAGGAACUUUAAUCUCCAAUUUCUUGAAGAUCGCCAACUUGAACUUAUUUCCCUUCCUAUGAUUUUUCUUUUUAUGAGGAAGAUGUUUUUCAUGUGAU
rnacentral:lncRNA from 1 species